AGUGAACGCUGGCGGUAGGCCUAACACAUGCAAGUCGAACGGCAGCACAGGAGAGCUUGCUCUCUGGGUGGCAAGUGGCGGACGGGUGAGGAAUACAUCGGAAUCUACUCUGUCGUGGGGGAUAACGUAGGGAAACUUACGCUAAUACCGCAUACGACCUACGGGUGAAAGCAGGGGACCUUCGGGCCUUGCGCGAUUGAAUGAGCCGAUGUCGGAUUAGCUAGUUGGCGGGGUAAAGGCCCACCAAGGCGACGAUCCGUAGCUGGUCUGAGAGGAUGAUCAGCCACACUGGAACUGAGACACGGUCCAGACUCCUACGGGAGGCAUCAGUGGGGAAUAUUGGACAAUGGGCGCAAGCCUGAUCCAGCCAUACCGCGUGGGUGAAGAAGGCCUUCGGGUUGUAAAGCCCUUUUGUUGGGAAAGAAAUCCAGCUGGCUAAUACCCGGUUGGGAUGACGGUACCCAAAGAAUAAGCACCGGCUAACUUCGUGCCAGCCGCCGCAGUAA
rnacentral:rRNA from 1 species